UUGAAACACCGAUUCCAGUAUGAUCACCGAAGUUAAGCAAUGUCAGACCUGGUCCGUACCUAAGUGGGUGACCGCUUGGGAAUACUAAGUGCUGUUA